CUCCAAAAUUGCCUGAUGAUCACUCAACUUUUAAACUACUGGCAUUAAUAGCACCGACUUUCCUCUACAAAACGCAAAAAGGCGCAAAAUUCUGGUUCCCUGGGUUUAUGAGAUAUGGGCUUUCGAAGCGAGUUGCUACCACUUUCCGGGUGCCCGCCACCAAGAAAAAUAAAUGUAAAGUUUACGGAAAAAUUUGACAUUUCUUCCAAGCAGCAAAGAAUUCCUAUUUGUUUCAAGGUUCGCACCAUAUAAAACCAAAGUUCUUUAAAAAUCCCCAGUUGGACAAUAGAAACUGACUAACUUUGCUCAUUUUUCAAAAUUCGUUGAACAUUUUUUUUAGUCCCAAAAUGUGAGAAAAAUGAACCUUUUGAUUGCAACAAUCGUACGCAAACGUUUUCUUACAAUUCGCCACUUUUUACUGCAAAAAUCGCUCGUUUAGGUUCGCCGAGCUUUGCUCUGUUCGCGAACGUCCACUUCUCGUCUGAUCUUCUUCACCUUCUGACCCAAGCGUUUAUGCGAAAGCUACACAAUUUAAACCAGCCUUGACUACAGUCACUUUUUUAGUCUUCUACAUCUUCAAUUGCAUAAUUUACGCCGUCUUUGAUUGCUUGUUGAAAUUCGUCAAGGUUCGUUCCGUUCGCUGCUUAAUCUUCUCGCCUUAAACUACAGCUUGAUUGACUUCAUCAUUGAAAAACGCGAUUUUAGGACACUUCCACGAGCAUCUUUUUCAACUAUUCAUUCUCCCCAAUUGUCUCAGCGAGGCUGCAAAAUGUUGAGUUUCUCAAGUUCAAUCGUCAGUUGCGCUGGUUUCUGAGACAGUAAAUGCGCAACUUUUGCCACAUACAAAGCAGAAGCCUUUGAAAAAUUGCCCUUUCUUCAAUUGAACCUGAGAAUGUUUGCCUAUUUUUCUAGCUAAAAAAAAUGGGCAACGUCUCGUUUUACUUUGUAAAAGUCUUCAAACUUUUAAUGUUUUCAAAAAACUCCUGAAUUCUGUCAUGUCAAUUUUUUCCAGACGUUUCGCAAGCAUCUUCAGAGCUGAGGAACCUAUUCAAAAGCUAUUUCUGGUAAAAUCCUCCCAAGCCGAAGAGAAAACGAACCCAAACUAAAACAGCGCAUCAGCAACAAACAAUUUAAUUGCAAACUAGAAAUAAUUCCCGCUGCUUUUCUACGUGAUAUUUACGAUGUGUUGGAGGCGAUAUGUGAAGACACUUUUUGGCUUUUCUGGGUCAAACACUGUUUUAUUGCCUUAAAAAACGUAAAAUUUCGGCCAAUUUAUCGUCAAAAUCAAUAAAUUAACUAGUGUACGUUUGAAAAUUCCUCCAAAAUUGCCUGAUGGUCACUCAACUUUGAAACUACUGGCGUUAAUAGCACCGACUUUCCUCUACAAAAAGCAAAAAGCAAAAAAUUGCCACCACUUUCAGCGUGCCCGCCACCAAGAAAAAUAAAUGUAAAGUUUACGGAAAAAUUUGAUAUUUCUUCCAAACAGCAAAGAAUUCCUAUUCUAUUUGUUUCAAGGUUCGCACCAUAUACAACCAAAGUUCUUUAAAAAUCUCCAGUUAGACAAUAGAAACUGACUAACUUUGCUCAUUUUUCAAAGCUCGUUGAAUAUUUUUUUUUAGUCCCAAAAUGUGAGAAAAAUGAACCUUUUGAUUGCAACAAUCGUACGCAAAAGUUUUUUUACAAUUCGCCACUUUUUACUGCAAAAAUCGCUCGUUUAGGUUCGCCGAGCUUUGCUCUGUUCGCGAACGUCCACUUCUUUAGUAUCCUUCUCGUCUAAUCUUCUUCACCUUCUGACCCAAGCUUUUAUGCGAAAGCUACACAAUUUAAACCAGCCUUGACUACAGUCACUUUUUUAGUCUUCUACAUCUUCAAUUGCAUAAUUUACGCCGUCUUUGAUUGCUUGUUGAAAUUCGUCAAGGUUCGUUCCGUUCGCUGCUUAAUCUUCUCGCCUUAAACUACAGCUUGAUUGACUUCAUCAUUGAAAAACGCGAUUUUAGGACACUUCCACGAGCAUCUUUUUCAACUAUUCAUUCUCCCCAAUUGUCUCAGCGAGGCUGCAAAAUGUUGAGUUUCUCAAGUUCAAUCGUCAGUUGCGCUGGUUUCUGAGACAGUAAAUGCGCAACUUUUGCCACAUACAAAGCAGAAGCCUUUGAAAAAUUGCCCUUUCUUCAAUUGAACCUGAGAAUGUUUGCCUAUUUUUCUAGCUAAAAAAAAUGGGCAACGUCUCGUUUUACUUUGUAAAAGUCUUCAAACUUUUAAUGUUUUCAAAAAACUCCUGAAUUCUGUCAUGUCAAUUUUUUCCAGACGUUUCGCAAGCAUCUUCAGAGCUGAGGAACCUAUUCAAAAGGUGGGUUGACUCAACCCCAGGAUUUUUCGAAACCCCUUUUCCCCGACCAAUUUUCCAGCUAUUUCUGGUAAAAUCCUCCCAAGCCGAAGAGAAAACGAACCCAAACUAAAACAGCGCGUCAGCGACAAACCCUUUAAUUGCAAACUAGAAAUAAUUCAUCAGAAAAGGCGACUGUCCAAAAGUGGGCAAAUAGAAAACGCCCUCAACUCCUGGAUUGGCGCUG